GAUGAACGCUGGCGGCGUGCCUAAUACAUGCAAGUCGAGCGAACGUACGUGAAGCUUGCUUUUCUGAUGUUAGCGGCGGACGGGUGAGUAACACGUGGAUAACCUACCUAUAAGACUGGGAUAACUUCGGGAAACCGGAGCUAAUACCGGAUAAUAUUUUGAACCGCAUGGUUCAAAAGUGAAAGACGGUCUUGCUGUCACUUAUAGCUGGAUCCGCGCGGCAUUAGCUAGUUGGUAAGGUAACGGCUUACCAAGGCAACGAUGCAUAGCCGACCUGAGAGGGUGCUCGGCCACACUGGAAGUGAGACACGGUCAGGACUCCAGCGGGAAGCAGCAGUAGGGAAUCUUCCGCAGUGGGCGAAGGCCUGACGGAGCAACGGCGCGUGAGUGAUGAAGGUCUGCGGAUCGUAAAACUCUGUUAUUAGAAGAGAACAGGUGUGUAAGUAACUGUACACAUCAUGACAGUACCUAAUCAGAAAGCCACGGCUAACUAGGUG
rnacentral:rRNA from 1 species